rnacentral:rRNA from 1 species
CUGAUGCAGCGACGCCGCGUGAGCGAUGAAGUAUUUCGGUAUGUAAAGCUCUAUCAGCAGGGAAGAUAAUGACGGUACCUGACUAAGAAGCACCGGCUAAAUACGUGCCAGCCGCCGCGGUAAU